rnacentral:ncRNA from 1 species
UUAACGAGAUACUACAAAAGGUGUAGGUUGAUCUAGACAGCAGAAUGAUGGCCAUGAAAGACAUUAAGCAGCCUGUAAUAAGUCAUUUUCUAACUCAACUAACCCUGACAAUUCAGGGACCCCGA